rnacentral:rRNA from 1 species
UACGAAGGGGGCUAGCGUUGUUCGGAAUUACUGGGCGUAAAGCGCGUGUAGGCGGGUCUUUAAGUCAGGGGUGAAAUGCCAAGGCUCAACCUUGGAACUGCCUUUGAUACUGGAGACCUUGAGUCCGGGAGAGGUGAGUGGAAUUGCGAGUGUAGAGGUGAAAUUCGUAGAUAUUCGCAAGAACACCAGUGGCGAAGGCGGACUCACUGGCCCGGAACUGACGCUGAGG